GACGAACGCUGGCGGCGUGCUUAACACAUGCAAGUCGAACGGUGAAGGGACCGGUUUUUGCUGGUUCUGGAUGAGUGGCGAACGGGUGAGUAACACGUGAGUAACCUGCCCCCUUCUUCUGGAUAACCGCAUGAAAGUGUGGCUAAUACGGGAUAUUCUGCGCCUGCUGCAUGGUGGGUGUGGGAAAGAUAUUGUUUCGGUGGGGGAUGGGCUCGCGGCCUAUCAGCUUGUUGGUGGGGUGAUGGCCUACCAAGGCGGUGACGGGUAGCCGGCCUGAGAGGGUGGACGGUCACACUGGGACUGAGACACGGCCCAGACUCCUACGGGAGGCAGCAGCGGGGAAUAUUGCACAAUGGGCGCAAGCCUGAUGCAGCGACGCCGCGUGAGGGAUGGAGGCCUGCGGGUUGUAAACCUCUUUCGCCAGUGAAGCAGGCCUGUCCCUUGUGUGGGUGGGUUGACGGUAGCUGGAGAAGAAGCGCCGGCUAACUACGUG
rnacentral:rRNA from 1 species